UUUAGAACCUAAAGCACUUUUAAUUCCCUGGCUACCUUAAAGAAUUGCUUUUCAGCAUCAACAAAAGAUUGAUAGUUUUUGCUACUCAGAUUCUCCACAUAUUAUGAAAUCUAAGAAAUGUUUAUGCACCUAGCAAAUGCAGCAUAUUUUAGUUAAAGAACUGAAAAUUAACAAGAAGAUAACAAAUGCUACCGCACAAACAUGCCAAGAGAUCAGGGAUGGAGUAGCAAAGCCUAGAGGCAAGCCACAUCGAAUCAACGAUUUACCAAAUUUUAGAGCAAGGGCAAGUUGGCAGCCAACGCUACUUUAGUUGUGGAGCGAGUUGGAGAAAAAACGUCCAGCUUUAAAAAAUGCCGCUGCUGCAUCUCUUCUCUUCUGAGUCUCUAACUCCUUCCAAGAAACUGAAGUCUUCUCAGUUUUGGUGCCCUGUUCUGACUAUCUUCCUCUGAAACUUCAGUUUCAAGAAAGUAUAUCCAUUAGGGAAGGGAGAUCACCAUCUCUUCCAUACAACGCUAAGAUUUGGGGUUGUAGUUGGAGGUCAUGGGAACUUGCCAAGUUUCGAGAACUUCAUGCUUCUAUUAAUUUUUGGAAAGAAAUUUUAUCAUAAUCAUCUUGGAAAGAGACUAUGGAAGAAGAAGAUGGAACAAAAAGAUAACAAAGUGUUUGGGCCUCCUUCCCUGUUCUAGAUACUGAUAAUUAUGUAGAAAAUUCACUGCAGCAACACUCGCAGAUGAACAUUCAGAAGUUCAAGCUAUGUCUUAAGAGUCUGAGCCUCAGAAUUUCAAAAGGCAAACUUGAAGACCUAGCUCUCAACAUGUAAAGUUUUGUUAUAGUUUUCCAUUGGAAAUUAAGUUUAGUGAAGAAAA